CUGUCUUGAGUAGAGGGAUGGGAUGGAUAGAGCAUCAGGAACAGUUGGAAAUGUCCUCUCGCUAGACCACGUCCUAAACUUAUAAUCUCGUGGAACAGAUGCAGCAACCUCUUCCCUUUUAUCCACCGAGGACUCCACACCUCCACUAAGACUCCCUUCGGAAGACGUAAGACACAAUACCCUGGCUCCUCAGGAUGAAGAUGUUCCAACGAUGUAGGGCUGAGACACGAACACCUUCCAGGUUUUAUUUCGUUUGCUAUGACACCUGCAUUAUUCUAUCUACUCUUUAUUUGAAAAUGUAUUGACUCCCUCCAGACUCAGCUU